rnacentral:rRNA from 1 species
UACGUAGGUGGCAAGCGUUGUCCGGAUUUACUGGGCGUAAGAGCGCGCAGGCGGUCGUUUAAGUCGAAUGUGAAAGCCCCCGGCUCAACUGGGGAGGGUCAUUCGAUACUGAUCGACUUGAAGGCAGGAGAGGGAAGUGGAAUUCCGGGUGUAGUGGUGAAAUGCGUAGAUAUCCGGAGGAACACCAGUGGCGAAGGCGACUUCCUGGCCUGUUCUUGACGCUGAGGCGCGAAAGCUGGGGAGCAACGGGG